UUCACCAUUAAAGCUAUUUUUUGAAAUUCCAUCCGACGGCUCUCUCUCCUCUUUCUCUUGCCUCUUGUGCUUCAUCACCUUCUUUUUUCUUGAACAUCUUCUCUUCUUCAUCUCUAUCUGAGGUCUUUCGCUUUUCUUCUAUUUUCUAUCUUCUCUCAUCAUUCUUCCUUGCAUUUUAACUUCUAAUGGCUUCGCUUCCUCCUCUUCCUUCAUCUCCUUCCCUCGAUUACACUCUCCUUCGCCAAUAUGUCGAAAAGGAUCCUUCUCGGUUU
rnacentral:lncRNA from 1 species